rnacentral:rRNA from 1 species
GGAUUAGAUACCCUGGUAGUCCUAGCCGUAAGCGAUGUGCACUAGGCAGGGGAGGCACCUAUGGCCCUCUCUGCCGUAGCUAAUGUGUUAAGUGCACCGCCUGGGGAGUACGCUCGCAAGAGUAAAACUCAAAGGAAUUGACGGGGGAUCACACAAGCGGUGGAGCAUGUGGUUUAAUUCGAAGCAACGCGAAGAACCUUACCUGGCCUUGACAUGUACGGAUUAGUCCUGUGAAAGCAGGGUGACAGCCCUUCGGGGUCGGAACGUACACAGGUGUUGCAUGGCUGUCGUCAGCUCGUGCCG